rnacentral:piRNA from 1 species
UGCUUGCAGGCUUGCAUUGUCACACAUAC